CACGUAGGGGGCGAGCGUUGUCCGGAUUUAUUGGGCGUAAAGAGCUCGUAGGCGGCUCGGUAAGUCGGGUGUGAAACCUCCAGGCUCAACCUGGAGACGCCACCUGAUACUGCUGUGGCUAGAGUCCGGUAGGGGGGUGUGGAACUCCUGGUGUAGCGGUGAAAUGCGCAGAUAUCAGGAAGAACACCAGCGGCGAAGGCGGCACUCUGGGCCGGAACUGACGCUGAGGAGCGAAAGCGUGGGUAGCAAACAGG
rnacentral:rRNA from 1 species